UACGUAGGCAGCGAGCGUUGUUCGGAAUUACUGGGCGUAAAGGGCGCGUAGGCGGCCUUCUAAGUCGAACGUGAAAUCCCUGGGCUCAACCCAGGAACUGCGUCCGAUACUGGAAGGCUUGAAUCCGGGAGAGGGAUGCGGAAUUCCAGGUGUAGCGGUGAAAUGCGUAGAUAUCUGGAGGAACACCGGUGGCGAAGGCGGCAUCCUGGACCAACACUGACGCUGAGGAGCGAAAGCCAGGGGAGCAAACGGG
rnacentral:rRNA from 1 species